AUUGAACGCUGGCGGCAUGCCUUACACAUGCAAGUCGAACGGCAGCAUGGAGAGCUUGCUCUCUGAUGGCGAGUGGCGAACGGGUGAGUAAAGCAUCGGAACGUACCGUGUAGUGGGGGAUAACGUAGCGAAAGUUACGCUAAUACCGCAUACGACCUGAGCAGGAAAGCAGGGGAUCGCAAGACCUUGCGCUGAUUGAGCGGCCGAUAUCAGAUUAGCUAGUUGGUGGGGUAAAGGCCUACCAAGGCGACGAUCUGUAGCGGGUCUGAGAGGAUGAUCCGCCACACUGGAACUGAGACACGGUCCAGACUCCUACGGGAGGCAGCAGUGGGGAAUUUUGGACAAUGGGGGCAACCCUGAUCCAGCCAUGCCGCGUGAGUGAAGAAGGCCUUCGGGUUGUAAAGCUCUUUCGGCCGGGAAGAAAUCGCAUGGGUUAAUACCCUGUGUGGAUGACGGUACCGGAAUAAGAAGCACCGGCUAACUACGUGCCAGCAGCCGCGGUAACAC
rnacentral:rRNA from 1 species